AAAAAUGUUUGCAGUUUCCCACUUGACUUCAGCGAGGUGGCACCUCUGAGAGUAAAAUUAAUGAUGAAAAUCGUGGUUAAGGAAGUACAGAUAUGGACUACUGCAUGCUGCAGAGGAGGGAAGUAAAGAUGUACUGAGCUCUGAUCAGCCACACAGGGACCGUUUGUACCAAUCCUUUCCAUGCGCAUCCAAAUGAAGGCUAAUAUGGGCAUCCAGCCCUGGUUUCUGCAGUGAAAGUAUAAAGGCUUUGUUUGCUGCACAUGCGAUGCCAGUCUCAAGUGGGCACCUAUGGCAGAAGAAAAGUAAUAUAGACUUAAGCACUUCUGAUAAGACUCUGCACUUCUCCUAAUGGCGAGCCUAUCUUAUCUUCACUCAUUUUCACCAUCUGCAUAGUAUUUCUUAAUACAAGUAUAAAAAUAAGAAACUUUAAGAUGGACAUCUGCUUGCAUGCUUUGAAUCCAAUAAGGGAAAAUAAGUAGAAGUGCCUUUGAGAAGAAUGCACCAUAGGUCCCAGAUGGUUCUCACAUCACUCAUAACCUUAUUUUAUGCACUUGUUUUUAUCUCUGAGAAAUAAUUCUGGCAUUAGUGAAAAAUCCAUCUUUUCCAGGUUACUGAGAAAGUAAGAGUUUUGGGGCCAUCGUGUCCUUCAUAAAGGUUAUUCCCACUUAGAGAACUUCGUACUCAUAGGGUUUACUUCCUAUGAUUUUAUGCAGAAGGUGAAGAUUUGGGCCCCUAUGCCUCCCACCCCCAGGGUAAUUGGUAGUAGUUUAAACCAUAUAAUCUCUGGAUUUUAGAGGAUCAAAGAGAAGGCUUUAUGUUGCCUUCUAAUACAUAAUAUUUCUUAUACAAAUAUUAUACCUUAAGUUUUCCUACCUUGGAAGUCCAGCUCCAAAAAAGACCUAAAGCAUGGACCGGGAACGCCAAUCUGCAUUAACGUAAGGAGGAAAUUUGACCGCGGAACUGGAAACAAUGCUGCAAAGAACAAUACAUCUAUCUGGCUCCACCUCUUUCUUACCCACAUGGCCCAAGCCCUACAGAGAAGCAGUAGAGGGACUUCAGUGUUGGGGAACAAUGUCACAGCGGUGGUAUUCUCCCUUAGCCCUGGCAUAGAGUUGGAGAGGAUGAUUUGGCCCUUGGUUCUUCAAGUGGUAGGACUUCUGCAAAUUUUUCUAGAAGUCAGAGAACUGAGAAAAUGUAUUCUGAUAUCAAGAACUGUGCAAUAUAGAACACUGGAUUCAACAAGUAAACCAAUAGAUAACUGACCUAGAUAGCUUUAUGUCAGUUACUAGACAAACUUAAGGACUACUAAGUCCUUAAGUUCUGUGUUAUAUUAAACUAGGUGUGGAAUUAUUAAGACAAAUUCUGUAGGAUUUGUCCCAUUUUAUAUAUAUAGAUAAUUCAUUUGCAUACCUGGGCUUAAUUCUCCAUUAUAAGCAGCUACACUUGAAUAAAGUGGGUAUAAAGUUUACCAUUAUUGGAUUUUCCUCUUGUACAAAGUAGAUGCCAUUAUUGUUAAGCUGUCUGUCUGUGAGCUGAG